CUGUAUCAUACAAAUUCACAUAGAGGAGAAAGAAGAGAGAGUGUGAUUCGCAGAGAUGUUUCUAACACACCAAAUCCCUAGAAUCCAUUCACAUUUCUUCGCAUCUCCUAAAACCCCCAAAUUCUUCCUCAUCACUUCCGCUCUCUUAUCCAAUUCUAAAUCCCCAAUUCCUCUACCUCCGCCCCCGCCCCUCUCCCACUUCUCCACCCUCACCCCCACCGCCACCGCCACCGCCACCGCGACGCCUGAAGACCAAGAGAGCCUGCAGCUGUCGCUCGAAUCGCUCUUCCUCCCGCCGGAGACAGACGUCUCGUCGCUCAAGGAGGCGCCGCUGACCGCCAGGAUUCUCAAGGGCUCCAACAUCGUGCUCAGCAAAUUCGCCGGCCACGGCGUCGACGUCGUCAACGCGGAUUUCGUGAAGAGCAGCGUCAAGACGGAGGAAUGCCCCGCCGACGGGGCGCCGGAGUUCGCCCUCGUCGGCCGCUCCAAUGUCGGGAAAUCGUCGCUGCUCAACUCGCUCGUCAGGAGAAAGCGACUCGCCCUCACCUCUAAGAAGCCCGGGAAAACACAAUGUAUCAACCAUUUUCGGAUCAAUGAUAGUUGGUACCUGGUGGAUUUGCCCGGCUACGGAUUUGCUGCUGCACCUCACGAGGUUCGGACUGACUGGGCCAAAUUCACCAAAGACUACUUCCUCAACCGCCCGACCCUUGUCUCUGUAUUCCUGUUGAUUGAUGCCAGCAUUCCGGCGAAAAAGAUUGACCUCGAGUAUGCAAGUUGGUUGGGACAAAAUGAGAUUCCUAUGACUUUGGUAUUCACCAAGUGUGACAAACGUAAAAAGAAAAAGAAUGGAGGGAAACGGCCUGAAGAAAACGUCCGAGACUUUCAGGAAUUGAUACGCGAUUUCUUCAAGUCCACCCCACCUUGGAUCAUGACAAGCAGUGUCACAAAUCAAGGUCGAGAUGAGAUCUUGCUGCACAUGUCCCAGCUCCGAAACUACUGGCUGAAGCACUAAUUAAAUUGUAGUACUAGUUCGUAAUCAUGCAGCGACUGUUCCAGACUAGACGUAUCAAAGGAUAAUAGUUGUCCUCUUUAUCAGCUUUGUAGCCGCGUUGGCUGGAAUGAAAGUUUAGUUACGGGCUUCGAAUGACAGAGGAAAGGAAGGACUCACGAUAGGCUUGCAGUUGAGCUCUAUUUUUAGGCUCACCCGAAGAUGCCAAACACCUGCUGUGCAUUGGAAUUGGAAGGCGGUUCGUGCUGGACGAUAAAGUGCAUAUUAGUUGGUGUGAUGUUUUUCUUAGACAAGAUGUUCGAAUCCCUUCAAAUAUGCGUGCGAUGAACUGUGUAACUCGUAGAAGUUUAUAAAAAAAAAGUAUAGUUCCUUCUA